UACUAAAAGUCCACCUCUUAAUCCACUUUCCUUCACUGUCGGGUGAGGGACGCUCUUGUCCGGAGAGAGUGUGUCGUAUCCUCGUGUCUAAGGAAUGAUAAAGUGCUUAUUGGAAUUAUAUUCAUUGACUCGUCUAUAUUCAGCCACAGCGUGCAAUGAACUAUGCACUAUGCUUCAUCUCCCAAGAUAUAUACAAGAGGCCAGGAUACGAACCCAUGACAAAGCGCUCGCGGAACGCCAGAGCAGACGGCCGCUCGUAUCAAGGGUCUUCCCAUUGAUAACAUAACGGAGCGAACACAACGUUCACUACGGCGGGAAAGUCCUGUUGACUGAAAUAUUUGGAAAUGUGAAGUGCGUGUGUAGACAGCUGGUUGCAAGGCUCCACGACCGCAGAGACCCCGCCCGUCUGUUGAGCGAGCGAUGACCAACCUCCCUCAUCUCCGUUCCAACAGUAACUUGAGUGACUAAUCGUGGGACCCUCGCCCACUGGGACGGUGUCUCAGUGUUGCCAGAUUGGGCUACAAAUAGCGAAUUGGGCUACUUUUGAGAGCCCCGCGCUCCCAAAUUUUUAAUUUCGCUACUUGCUACUUUUUUGGGCUAAUUUAAAAGCAAGAUGUGCUAAU